CGGUGUAGGGGUUCGUUUCACUCUCCCGCAGUCGCUGAACCUGAUGGGUAAGGAGAGGGAGGAUGGGUGCCGCGUCGUCGAUGUCUGGAUCGUCCAUAGCGUCCUUGGUAGAUGCAUCUAUGGUUCAAACUUAUGGUUCGGGUUUCUGAGCGUUUGGGGAGAAGGAUAGGGGAUCUGACCUCCGUCGUGCAAAAAAGGUUCCAUUUUGCGCGAGAACAGAGUCGAGAUCUAUGCGGAGAACGUUACGAAUAGAGGGAUUUCUCUUACAUAAGCUUCUGGGAAGGCCUUGCGGUGAGGAGACGGAGAUAUCAGGGUCUGCACGAGCUAAGCAAAACCAGCUAAGGGGGUGGUCUACGAGCGAUGGCGAGAAGGGUUGGGAACGCCUGCCCCUUCAGGGGCAAAGGGGGAUGGCUAGCGGGGCGGAGACAUGGUUAGAUGGCGGGCAUAGGGUGAUAGUCGAUAGGAGUAACAUGAUCAUUUAAAAAAAAUUACUGUUUCAGAAUUUUUCAAAAUAAAAAUAUUUUACAAAAACUUUUGAAAAUUAGAAUUUUUUUUCUUUUCGCAAUGGACCCAUGUAAAAUUUCAGACGAUGCAUACCCUUUCAAGAAACAAUGCAUUUUCUCCA